CAAUAGCGUAUAUUAAAGUUGUUGCAGUUAAAAAGCUCGUAGUUGGAUUUGUGGUUCGUCCCGCCGGCUGGGUCAUUGACUUUUGCUGUGCCGGUCGUCCAUCCUUGGGUGGGAUCUGUGUGGCAUUAGGUUGUCGCGCAGGGGAUGCCCAUCGUUUACUGUGAAAAAAUUAGAGUGUUCAAAGCAGGCUUAUGCCGUUGAAUAUAUUAGCAUGGAAUAAUGAUAUAGGACCUUGGUACUAUUUUGUUGGUUUGCGCACUGAGGUAAUGAUUAAUAGGGACAGUUGGGGGUAUUCGUAUUCCAUUGUAAGAGGUGAAAUUCUUGGAUUUUUGGAAGACGAACUACUGCGAAAGCAUUUACCAAGGAUGUUUUCAUUAA
rnacentral:rRNA from 1 species